AUUGAACGCUGGCGGCAGGCCUAACACAUGCAAGUCGAGCGGAUGAAGGGAGCUUGCUCCUGGAUUCAGCGGCGGACGGGUGAGUAAUGCCUAGGAAUCUGCCUGGUAGUGGGGGAUAACGUCCGGAAACGGGCGCUAAUACCGCAUACGUCCUGAGGGAGAAAGUGGGGGAUCUUCGGACCUCACGCUAUCAGAUGAGCCUAGGUCGGAUUAGCUAGUUGGUGGGGUAAAGGCCUACCAAGGCGACGAUCCGUAACUGGUCUGAGAGGAUGAUCAGUCACACUGGAACUGAGACACGGUCCAGACUGCUACGGGAGGCAGCAGUGGGGAAUAUUGGACAAUGGGCGAAAGCCUGAUCCAGCCAUGCCGCGUGUGUGAAGAAGGUCUUCGGAUUGUAAAGCACUUUAAGUUGGGAGGAAGGGCAGUAAGUUAAUACCUUGCUGUUUUGACGUUACCAACAGAAUAAGCACCGGCUAACUUCGUG
rnacentral:rRNA from 1 species